rnacentral:tRNA from 1 species
GGGGGGAUACCAAAGCGGCCAACUGGGGCAGACUGUAAAUCUGUUGUCUUACGACUUCGGAGGUUCGAAUCCUCCUCCCCCCACCA